UAAAAAGCCUUAUUCAAGGCCACAUAAAAGUCUAUUGUCAAAUUCAU
rfam:Picea glauca, whole genome shotgun sequence.